rnacentral:rRNA from 1 species
GCAGUGGCGGGGUGCUAUACAUGCAGUCGAGCGAACAGAUAAGGAGCUUGCUCCUUUGACGUUAGCGGCGGACGGGUGAGUAACACGUGGGUAACCUACCUAUAAGACUGGGAUAACUUCGGGAAACCGGAGCUAAUACCGGAUAACAUUUGGAACCGCAUGGUUCUAAAGUGAAAGAUGGUUUUGCUAUCACUUAUAGAUGGACCCGCGCCGUAUUAGCUAGUUGGUAAGGUAACGGCUUACCAAGGCGACGAUACGUAGCCGACCUGAGAGGGUGAUCGGCCACACUGGAACUGAGACACGGUCCAGACUCCUACGGGAGGCAGCAGUAGGGAAUCUUCCGCAAUGGGCGAAAGCCUGACGGAGCAACGCCGCGUGAGUGAUGAAGGGUUUCGGCUCGUAAAACUCUGUUAUUAGGGAAGAACAAAUGUGUAAGUAACUGUGCACGUCUUGACGGUACCUAAUCAGAAAGCCACGGCUAACUACGUGCCAGCAGCCGCGGUAAUACGUAGGUGGCAAGCGUUAUCCGGAAUUAUUGGGCGUAAAGCGCGCGUAGGCGGUUUCUUAAGUCUGAUGUGAAAGCCCACGGCUCAACCGUGGAGGGUCAUUGGAAACUGGGAAACUUGAGUGCAGAAGAGGAAAGUGGAAUUCCAUGUGUAGCGGUGAAAUGCGCAGAGAUAUGGAGGAACACCAGUGGCGAAGGCGACUUUCUGGUCUGUAACUGACGCUGAUGUGCGAAAGCGUGGGGAUCAAACAGGAUUAGAUACCCUGGUAGUCCACGCCGUAACGAUGAGUGCUAA